AACGAGUUAGUAUAAUAAAUACCACCGAUUUAGGAUCGGUAAAAAAGAUCCACACCUUACCCGUUA
rnacentral:tRNA from 1 species